rnacentral:rRNA from 1 species
GACGAACGCUGGCGGCGUGCUUAACACAUGCAAGUCGAACGCUGAAGCUCAGCUUUUGUUGGGUGGAUGAGUGGCGAACGGGUGAGUAACACGUGAGUAACCUGCCUCCUUCUUUGGGAUAACGCCCGGAAACGGGUGCUAAUACUGGAUAUUCACUGGUCUUCGCAUGGGGGUUGGUGGAAAGGGUUUUUCUGGUGGGGGAUGGGCUCGCGGCCUAUCAGCUUGUUGGUGGGGUGAUGGCCUACCAAGGCUUUGACGGGUAGCCGGCCUGAGAGGGUGACCGGUCACAUUGGGACUGAGAUACGGCCCAGACUCCUACGGGAGGCAGCAGUGGGGAAUAUUGCACAAUGGGCGCAAGCCUGAUGCAGCGACGCCGCGUGAGGGAUGGAGGCCUUCGGGUUGUGAACCUCUUUCGCUCAUGGCCAAGCCGCAACAAUGGUUGUGGUGAGGGUAGUGGGUAAAGAAGCGCCGGCUAACUACGUG